UUAUUGAAACUUCGGUGGAUUUAAUUUAUUUCUAGUGGCGGACGGGUGAGUAACGCGUGGGUAACCUGCCUUAUACUGGGGGAUAACAGCCAGAAAUGACUGCUAAUACCGCAUAAGCGCACAGAACCGCAUGGUUCCGUGUGAAAAACUCCGGUGGUAUAAGAUGGACCCGCGUUGGAUUAGCUAGUUGGCAGGGCAGCGGCCUACCAAGGCGACGAUCCAUAGCCGGCCUGAGAGGGUGAACGGCCACAUUGGGACUGAGACACGGCCCAGACUCGUACGGGAGGCAGCAGUGGGGAAUAUUGCACAAUGGGGGAAACCCUGAUGCAGCGACGCCGCGUGAAGGAAGAAGUAUCUCGGUAUGUAAACUUCUAUCAGCAGGGAAGAUAAUGACGGUACCUGACUAAGAAGCCCCGGCUAACUACGUGCCAGCAGCCGCGGUAAUACGUAGGGGGCAAGCGUUAUCCGGAUUUACUGGGUGUAAAGGGAGCGUAGACGGCGCAGCAAGUCUGAUGUGAAAGGCAGGGGCUUAACCCCUGGACUGCAUUGGAAACUGCUGUGCUUGAGUGCCGGAGGGGUAAGCGGAAUUCCUAGUGUAGCGGUGAAAUGCGUAGAUAUUAGGAGGAACACCAGUGGCGAAGGCGGCUUACUGGACGGUAACUGACGUUGAGGCUCG
rnacentral:rRNA from 1 species